CCCUUAUGCCCAGGGCUACACACGUGCUACAAUGGCAGGUACAAAGGGAUGCCAAUCCGCGAAGGUGGAGCCAAUCCCACCAAAAGCCUGUCCAAGUUGGGAUCGGAGUCUGCAAUUCGACUCCCGUGAACCUGGAAUCGCUAGUAAUCGUGGAUCAGCACGCCACGGUGAAUACGUUCCCGGGCCUUGUACACACCGCCCGUCACACCACGAAAGUCUGCUGUACCCGAAGUAAGUGAGCUAACCCGCAAGGGAGGCAGCUUCCGAAGGUAUGGCCGGUAAUUGGGGUG
rnacentral:rRNA from 1 species